AAUACAUAGGAAUCCACCCAGUAGUGGGGGAUAACUUGGAGAAAUCCAUGCUAAUACCGCAUAUGUCCUACGGGGCAAAGCAGGGGACCCUCGGGCCUUGCGCUAUUGGAUGAGCCUAUGUCGGAUUAGCUAGUUGGUGGGGUAAUGGCCUACCAAGGCAGCGAUCCGUAGCUGGUCUGAGAGGAUGAUCAGCCACACUGGGACUGAGACACGGCCCAG
rnacentral:rRNA from 1 species